rnacentral:lncRNA from 1 species
AUGUUCCAGUGGAGUCACGGUGAAAUGGGCCUGCCAGCUCUCGGCUCUUCCUCUCCGUGUCCUAAUUAUGCCUCUGGCUCUGGCUCCCCUCUGUGCCCUGCCAUAUUCCACAUCCCCAACACACACACACAUUCACACACACACACACACACACCAUGGAGGGCCGAUGUGAAGGCCCCAGGCCAGCACAGGCCUGCAGCUUCCAUCACAGCCUGGCCCAGGGCCAAGAUGGGAACAAGCAUACGAGCCUCAGCCCCACCCUCAGCCACCUCCCCAGUCCCACCCGGAGCCCAUCCCACUCAAAGGGGGGCCCCUGGACAGCACCUCCCUCCACAACACCUCCAGGCAGGCCCUUUGCCUCCAACCUGUCCACCCGGGUUUGCUAGGGCUGCCAUAGCAGGUGUCCCAGCCUGGGGGCGUAAACAACAGAAAUUUGUCCCUCACUGUUCUGGAGGCCAGAGGACCAAGAUCAAGGCGUUGGCAGGGCCGGUUCCUUCCGAGGGCUGUAAGGGAGAAUCUGUUCCAGGCCUGGCCCCUCACUUCUGGAGGUUUGCCGGCAACCUUUGAUGGUCCUCAGCUUCCUUGUGGAACAAUCACCCCAAUCUCUGCCCCGAUCUUCACAUGGCGUUCUCUCUGUGUGCACAUCCGUCUCCAAAUUUCCCUUUUCAUAAGGACACUAGUCAAUGGAUUAGGGUCCACCCUAAUGACUUUGUUUUAACUUGAUUAUCUCCGUAAAGACCUAUUUCCAAAUAAGGUCACAUACUAAGGUACUGGGGGCUAGGACCUCAACAUGUGAAUUUGGGGGUGGGGGGAUACCAUUCAGCCCCUCACACUGCCCUGUGGUUAGUACACACGCUCACACCUGUGACCCAGCCGCGUGACCUUCCUGCCUCACAUUACUGUACCAACUCAGGUAGAAGUGGUCCUGGCCAGCAGUGGGUUAAUGGUUGAUGCAUUAUUCAUCGCUUUCCACCCCUUCGCUCACUCACUCACUGGGUCGGUGGGUAUUUACUGAGCACCUUCUAUGUGCCAGCACUGUCCUGGAUGCUGGAGAUAAAUAAACAAGGGCAAUAAACAAGCGAGCA